ACACUGAUGGUGAAGCGGUUAUCAUGCUUGCCUUCCACGCUUACGUAAUCCGGCAGGAUUACGUAAAUUGCGUUAGCAAGCGGCAGGGGUUCGACUCCCCUUCAGUGUA